rnacentral:rRNA from 1 species
UACGAGGGGGGCAAAUGUUGUUCGGAAUCACUGGGCGUAAAGGGAGCGUAGGCGGGUUUCUAAGUCAGGUGUUUAAUCCCGGGGCCCAACCCCGGACAGGCACUUGAAACUGGGAAUCUUGAAUAGUGGAGAGGUCAGUGGAAUUGGGGGUGUAGCGGUGGAAUGCGUAGAUAUUGGGAGGAACACCAGUGGCGAAGGCGGCUACCUGGACCGGUUCUGACGCUGAUGCGCGAAAGCGUGGGUAGCAAACAGG